rnacentral:rRNA from 1 species
GCUUAACACAUGCAAGUCGAACGGUGAAGGGAUCAGCUUGCUGGUUCUGGAUGAGUGGCGAACGGGUGAGUAACACGUGAGUAACCUGCCCCCUUCUUCUGGAUAACCGCAUGAAAGUGUGGCUAAUACGGGAUAUUCUGGGUCUGUCGCAUGGCGGGUCUGGGAAAGAUGCGCCUUUGGGUGUUUUUGGUGGGGGAUGGGCUCGCGGCCUAUCAGCUUGUUGGUGGGGUGAUGGCCUACCAAGGCGGUGACGGGUAGCCGGCCUGAGAGGGUGGACGGUCACACUGGGACUGAGACACGGCCCAGACUCCUACGGGAGGCAGCAGUGGGGAAUAUUGCACAAUGGGCGCAAGCCUGAUGCAGCGACGCCGCGUGAGGGAUGGAGGCCUUCGGGUUGUAAACCUCUUUCGCCAGUGAAGCAGGCCUGCUCCUUGUGGGUGGGUUGACGGUAGCUGGAUAAGAAGCGCCGGCUAACUACGUGCCAGCAGCCGCGGUAAUACGUAGGGCGCGAGCGUUGUCCGGAAUUAUUGGGCGUAAAGAGCUCGUAGGCGGCUGGUCGCGUCUGUCGUGAAAUCCUCUGGCUUAACUGGGGGCUUGCGGUGGGUACGGGCCGGCUUGAGUGCGGUAGGGGAGACUGGAACUCCUGGUGUAGCGGUGGAAUGCGCAGAUAUCAGGAAGAACACCGGUGGCGAAGGCGGGUCUCUGGGCCGUUACUGACGCUGAGGAGCGAAAGCGUGGGGAGC